rnacentral:rRNA from 1 species
AGAGUUUGAUCCUGGCUCAGAGCGAACGCUGGCGGCAGGCCUAACACAUGCAAGUCGAACGCCUGUAGCAAUACAGGAGUGGCAGACGGGUGAGUAACACGUGGGAACGUGCCCUUCGGUUCGGAAUAACCCAGGGAAACUUGGGCUAAUACCGGAUACGUCCGCAAGGAGAAAGAUUUAUCGCCGAGGGAUCGGCCCGCGUCCGAUUAGCUAGUUGGUGAGGUAAUGGCUCACCAAGGCGACGAUCGGUAGCUGGUCUGAGAGGAUGAUCAGCCACACUGGGACUGAGACACGGCCCAGACUCCUACGGGAGGCAGCAGUGGGGAAUAUUGGACAAUGGGCGCAAGCCUGAUCCAGCCAUGCCGCGUGAGUGAUGAAGGCCCUAGGGUUGUAAAGCUCUUUCGGCGGGGAAGAUAAUGACGGUACCCGCAGAAGAAGCCCCGGCUAACUUCGUGCCAGCAGCCGCGGUAAUACGAAGGGGGCUAGCGUUGCUCGGAAUCACUGGGCGUAAAGCGCUCGUAGGCGGAUUGUUAAGUCGGGGGUGAAAUCCUGGAGCUCAACUCCAGAACUGCCUUCGAUACUGGCAAUCUUGAGU